UCAAUCUGCUGACAUUUCAGUUUGCUCAUCUGACAAAUGGAACCUGUAAUGGUCACCCUGUAUACUUAAGAGGAGCGAGAGCUCUUGCUUGAGAGCACUGCUAACGUGCGGGUUUUACAGUAGGUUCACUAAGUAUAUCAUUAUUCAUUCAGUGCCUUUAGCUGUUCUCCAGCUGAAGGAUUUCAGCCUUGGAGGUUGAGUGGCUUGUCUGAAGACACAGAGCCUGUCAGGACUCAAACACAGGCCUACCUGGUUCCAAGUUUUGUGUUCUUCCCAUCACUAGAUGCUGACCCUGAUGUCAAAGGACACAAUGGUGACCCCUAGGUAAGGAGAUACACCCAAGUGACCUUCCUGCUCCAAGGCCAGGACAUCCCUAUGUCCUUGGCCCCCACACAAGGCCUAGCCAAGCCCAGUUCUGUUUCCUCAAGCCCUGCUCUCUGCUGUGGGAUCUGGCGGGUUGUUAAUCUGAUAAACAGCUUCCUGUUAAUGUGGGAGUGUGAGCUAAAGAGUUGCUAUAUUGCCCUGCCUGGUGGCAGGUGGUCGGUCUGGUGACUUUGCCCACAGAAGCACUCUAGAUCUGUGACAUAAAAGGUUGAGGGCUUUGGGAUCUGUCAGCCCUGGGUGGGAGGAAUGACUGUUUCUUGUUACCAGUGUGACCUGAAGUUACUGACUUCUGGUUUCUUCAUCUGUAAAAUGUAAGCAAGAAUGCUUACUGUAAUAGGUGAAUGUUUUGAACAUUAAAUGGUACAGGAAAUGUGCCCAGCUCCAUAAUGCACAAUAAAGUAAAAGGCUUUGUUGUCUCCUUAGAGGGUGUGGUCACCCUUGAGGGGAGCCAUUUGGACAUUGAGGGUUUUUUUUUGUCCCAUCCCCAAAAUUCACAUCAUGGCUAGUCAUUUAUUUGUUAAGUAAACAGAUAAAAAUAAUCACAUUCACGGCAUCUACUGCUAUUGACAGCAUGUUUGAGAUAGCAGAGAGCCCCAGGCAGGCAGUACUGUUACAGUCCAGGGCAGGGCCUCACCAUGUAAGCCUGCCCUGGCUAAGUGGGGUCUGUGGGAGUGGCUGGUAUUUGAGGCACCAGGUGGAGACAGGAAAUUCUGGGCUGCUAGACACUGGAGAAGAAGAGAAGGAAAAGGUGGCAGGGGCACCCCUCCGGCUUUGGUGGGUGGUUAGCUGGUUGGCCCUGGAGUUUCUUUCCAUGUGGUGCUAUGACAGGCCAGCUGAUUCCUCCAGCUCAGAGCUUAUGGAUAAUUUCCUGUUGUCUGAGGCAUUUAUACAGUUUUAGCUGUUACCGUAUGUUCCAUGGAUGGUGAAUGUGCCAAGGACCUGUUUUCUGCUCCCGCCCCACUUAGUCACCAGUCUACCUUGACAUGGGACAGCCAGUGAGCAUGGGUCUAGCCAUAGAAUGCAGAGAAAGGGCUCAGGGGAUUAGUUGGCUUGGUAAGAA